rnacentral:rRNA from 1 species
UACAGAGGGGGCAAGCGUUGUUCGGAAUUACUGGGCGUAAAGGGCGCGUAGGCGGCCUGCUAAGUCGAACGUGAAAUCCCCGAGCUCAACUCGGGAACUGCGUCCGAUACUGACAGGCUUGAAUCCGGGAGAGGGAUGCGGAAUUCCAGGUGUAGCGGUGAAAUGCGUAGAUAUCUGGAGGAACACCGGUGGCGAAGGCGGCAUCCUGGACCGGCAUUGACACUGAGGUGCGAAAGCGUGGGGAGCAAACAGG